CCCUGUGUAUUCCGAAUUCCGGUCUAAUUAUGAAGUCCCAAUACUCUUAAUUACAAUAAUUAUUACCUGUCAAAACCGGUUUGUCUAAUUAAUUUCAAUGAUCGAUAUGCAAUCAAAACAAAUUUGUUUAUACAAUAUGGCUUUUCGUGAUAAUCAAUUAGUCAGGUGUCAAACUGUGAACCUACAAUCGUACAGUAGUGAGCUGUAUUAUUUAUUAAAACAUUAUAAACGUGUCAAUUAAACGAAAAGACACACCGAAUAUAUCUCGGAUUGAACUUACUUUUUAACAUCAUGGAUAAACAAAUUAAAAUCGCGGAGUAAGAAAUUCACAUCGUGAUUUCGAAAUCCUGGGUUCCCUGUUGUGAACCCCUAAACAAAUGACCUUGAUAAUGAAAAACAUUCGGAUGACAACAAUCAAUGGAUAUUGUACACUGUACGACAACGUUUCGAAAGUGAUGAAAUUACGUUUGAAAAUAUUCUGGCUUUUUAAUCGGCCAUUC
rnacentral:lncRNA from 1 species